UUCUCAGGUCGUCAUACAUCUCCCAGACACAUGGAGACCUCCUGCAGUAGGCCACAUAAUGUCCAAGAGCAUCCUGGAUUAAGCCUCCUUUGAAAGCAAUGACUGCCCUUAAAGUAAAUCUCUCUCCUUGGAGCAUCAGAUUGGAGGGAAAUUCACUCAAAGGAAAUUCUAUGGAGUUGCUUCCCAGAGGGACACUGUGAUGGACUUUGGAUUGGCCUGAGACAGGGGGACUCCGGAAGGUUAAGGCCUUCUUCCACUGCGGUCUGAAGAUAAGCGAUGCCAGAAGCCUGCAAUACAGCAACAGAAGUACAAACAAAUGUGGAGAUGUGGCACUGUGCGUCGAUUUGGAGAGCAC